UAGAGACAAAGAUGUUGCUGAAAUAAUUCAUAAGAUGUUGAACAUGAGAGAGGAAAUGGUUCUGUGUGCCAUUCCCAUAGUGGGCAUGGGGGGUUUAGGGAAAACUACAAUUGCUAAGAGAAUUUUCAAUGAUGAAGAGAUCGGAAAGCACUUUAAAAAGAGAGUUUGGUUGUGUCUACCUGAAAUAUCAGACACUAAGAGCUUUCUUGAACAGAUCCUCCAAUCAUUGACAGAGCGGAAACUUGAGGUCCAAACCAGGGAUAUUAUAGUCAAGAAACUCCGAGAUGAACUAGGAGGAAAAAGAUAUUUGCUUGUCUUAGAUGAUUUGUGGCAUGUUGACUCUAGAUUGUGGCAUGAGUUCAUGGACACCUUGAAAGGAAUCAAUACAUCGAGAGGAAACUGCAUUCUCGUGACUACUCGCAUGAAGCAGGUGGCAUCCAUAGUAGCUGCAGAUCAUCAUAUGUUGGGGAAAUUAACAGAUGAUCAUUGUUUGUCCAUUUUCAAACAAGGAGCAUUUGUUGAUGGGGAAGUUCCGCAGGAAAUACUGAGCAUGGAGAAAAAGAUUGUUGAACUGUGUCAAGGUCUACCGUUGGCUGCAAGUGUCUUGGGAUGCCUCUUAUGCAACAAGGAAAAACAUGAAUGGCAGGCAAUUCUUGUUGCAGGUGAAGAUGAUAAUAGGGAAAAUAGCUUAAAGAAAAUCCUAAAACUAAGCUAUGAUUAUCUACCAUCUCCGCAUCUGAAGAAAUGUUUUGGUUACUUUGCUAUGUUUCCAAAAGAUUUUGUGUUUGAGAAGGACCAACUAAUCCAACUCUGGAUGGCAGAAGGCUUUCUUCAUCCAUGUCAAGAGACCCCUGUGAUGGAAGACGUUGGGAACAAGUUUUUCCGACUCUUGUUCCAAUAUUCCUUGCUGCAAGAUGUUAAGCUAGAUGAAUACACAAAAAUCACACACUGUAAGAUGCAUGAUCUUGUGCAUGAUUUGGCUGGAGAUAUUUUGAAGUCUAAACUAUUUGAUCAAAAGAGUGUUGGCUGGAGAUACUUUGGAUGGGACUCACCCACUGAUCAAAUAGAUAAGAUAAACAAGCCAGGACGUUUGAGCACAUUAUUCUGGAAAAGAAAUAUACCUGAAGAUACGCUUCUGAGCUUUCAAUUCUUGAGAGUUUUAAAUUUGUCCGGAUCAGGCAUCGAAGAGUUAUCAGCCAAAAUCGGCAAGCUAAUAUAUUUGAGAUAUCUUGAUGUCUCGGCCACUGAGAUCAAAGCCUUGCCCAACUCCAUUUGCAAGCUCUACAAUUUGCAAACAUUUAGAGUCAAUUACUGUCCUUCACUCAAGCUUCCAGAAGAAAUGGCAAAUAUGAUAAGUUUGAGACACAUAUAUUGCAAUAGAUCAGAUAAGCAGACGCCACUUAAUAUGGGGCGAUUGACCAGUCUUCAGACGCUACGGUUUUUUUACAUAGGUUCAGAGAAUGGUCGUCGGAUAAAAGAAUUAGGUUGUUUGAAAAACCUUAGAGGUAAAUUGACGAUCGAACAUUUCCAAUUAGUCAGAAAUAAAGAAGAGGCCCAAACAGCAAAUUUACAGGAGAAACCCAAUAUCUACAAGCUGGUGUAUUCAUGGUCCCAUGAUGAAUCAGAAGGCUGUGAGAUCAAUGAUGAGCAUGUGUUGGAUGGUCUUCAACCGCAUCCUAACUUGAAAGCCUUAUCAGUAGUGGACUAUUUAGGGACUAAACUUCCUUCAUGGUUCAGUGAGGAGUUGUUACCAAAUUUGGUCAAGUUGAAAUUAAGUGGUUGUAAAAGGUGCACAGAAAUUCCAUCCCUUGGCCAACUGAAAUUCCUUCGACAUCUUGAGCUGGUAGGAUUCCAUGAGUUGAAAUGCAUUGGACCUGCUUUAUAUGGUGUUGACAUUAGCAAUAUUGGAUCAAGCAGCAUUAUCCAAGUGUUCCCGUCAUUGAAAGAACUAGUAUUGGAGGAUAUGCGUAGCCUUAUUGAGUGGAAGGGAGAUGAAGUUGGAGUAAGAAUGUUUCCUAGGCUUGAGAAGUUGCGCAUUAGUAACUGUCCAUUGUUAAAAAGUACUCCAAGUCAAUUUGAAAUCCUCCAUGAAUUAAGAAUUGAAGGAGUUGACAGUGAAAUGCCAUUGUUGAACUUGUGCAGCAACUUGACAUCUCUUGUGAAGCUUGAUGUUGAUAAUGUGAAAGAGCUCACUUGUCUUUCAGAUGUUAUGCUACGCAACAAUGUUUCUCUUCGAUACAUAUCGGUCUUCAACUGCGGAGAGUUUCGUGAAUUUCCACAAAGCCUGUACAAUCUCCAUUCUCUUGAGAGCUUACGAAUACAAUGCUGCCCCAAUUUCAGUUCUUUUAUUGUUCCCUGUGGAGAGAACUACUUGACUUCCCUCCAAAGUUUUGAGUUACAUGGGUGUAAUGGAUUGACCAGUUUACCAAGUGGAAUGCUAGAGCAAUGCCGGUCUCUACAGAAUUUGUCGGUCAGCUGCUGUGACAACUUAGUUUCCUUCCCUUUACAUGGGUGGGAAAUGCGUUCACUUUCACGUUUGGAUAUAUCACAAUGUCCCAAAUUGAUUAGUGUACCAACAGGGUGCCUGCACCGUCUCACUGGGUUAAGGGUAUUGCACAUUGGUCCUUUCUCAGAGAAGGUGGAUUUUGAGGUAUUCCAAUUGAUUUUUAGUGGUGUUCAACAGCUGUUUUCCCUUCGUUCUUUGUGGGUGUACGGACAUUUGCACUGGGAUUCUCUGCCCUAUCAGAUUAUGCAACUCUCUGCCCUAAAAAAUCUCUCUAUAUAUGAUUUCGGAAUCGAGGCUCUUCCUCAUAGAUUUGACAACCUUACAUCUCUUGAAACAUUAUCGCUAAAGAGGUGCAAACGGCUAAGACAUGUGGACUUCUCAGAUGCCAUGACCAAAUUACGGAAUCUGUGGAUACAGGAUUGUCCAUUAUUAGAAGCUCUGUCGGAUGGGCUCGGCAACCUUGCUUCUUUGGAACAGUUACUUAUUUUGAAUUGCAAAAAACUAGAGCAUCUGCCAUCCAGAGAUGCCAUGCGAUGCCUCACCAAAUUAAUGCACCUGGAAAUUGUUGACUGCCCACAGUUAGGUGAAAGCUGCACCAAUCAGAGUGGUCCAAACUCCCAGUGGUCCAAAAUUUCCCAUAUUCCAGAUAUUCAAGUGCAUUCAUGAAGAUAACGGAAGCAAUGGCUCGACUUAUUGGUGAAACGCUAGAGAGAUGAGCCGGUGAGUGUGGUUGCAUCUUGCACGAAGCUUGAAAGUUCAAGGAUAAUUUCUCCGUUGAUAUUAACUUUUGCGAUUGAAGUUCUUCAACAAAGAUAGUUGUCAUGAAUCUUAUAGUAUCAAAGAGCGGCUCAUUGGCUCUUACAAUGUCCGUAGCAGUAAUUGUUAAAGAAUGACAAAAGUCCCACAUCGGUGGUUAAUGAGAUGGGUGGACUCCUAAUAAGGCUUGAGCAAUCCUCCUUCCUUUGAGCUAGCUUUUGGGAUGUGAGUUAGGCCUAAGACCUAAUUUAACAUGGUAUCAGAGCAGGGCCCGUCUCACCCGAUGUUGGGACCCCCAAAAUUUGCGUGAGGUGGGGUGUUAAAGAAUGACAAAAGUCCCACAUCGGUGGUUAAUGAGAUGGGUGGACUCCUAAUAAGGCUUGAGCAAUCCUCCUUCCUUUGAGCUAGCUUUUGGGAUGUGAGUUAGGCCUAAGACCUAAUUUAACAGUAAUCUGUUCAUCUUGAUAGGUCUUGAUUUCUCCUAAAAUCUCCUCUUUUUUUUAUUGUACUUGUAAUGAUCUGCUUUUCCAUUCUCCUAGGAGGAAACGUGUUCUAAAACUAACUUUUUACCAUUUCCCGCGCUUCAGAUUCAUGUUUGAAACACCAGCAUUGACCUUGUCGAAAUGCUACUUCUGUUAGAUGUGUUUCUGUUUCAUCGUUGGCAAGGGGAAACUGCAUUCCAUAAACUUAUUUCCCUUAAAGGACCCUAAAAGGGCCAUGUCGUCAUGAGUGAUUAAGUUUGUUGCACAUGUAUUAUGAUAAACAGUUGAGCUUUUCGCGUCUAUUGAAAUGAGAGUCCAAUGGAAACGCCCAGCCCACAGCUCCUGAAAUUAGUUGAUGUAAUUCUUUACUGAAUUAAACUAGCAGUGUUGAAUACCAUGGUUGUAUCAUG